CAUGAGAAUCUUUAUUCUAAAGACUAUGAAGAAAAUUAACUCAUGUGACCAGUUUAAUAUCAAUAUUUACUUAUACAAAGAAAGGAACCUCUGUUUUACCAUCAAGACCAUAAAGAAAAACAAUAAAAAUAUCAGAGAAAUGGCAGAUAUUGUCUAUGUUAAUAGGAGAAAGAAAAGGGGAAAAGCUUCUGUUAAGGCAAGACUCCUGAUAUGUUCAGUACUAUUUUCCAAAAGAAUGUCUUUCAAAUUUAUUUUUGAAAUCUCCUUCUCAAGUUCAAUAUUAAUAGGGAGCUUUGGCUGAAGAAAAAGGAAAAAUUUGUCCUUUAGCUGAGUAUCAGAUGUUUGGGAGUUUCUCUUCCACAUCAUUCUGCUCUCUUGUGGUGAAUAGCAUUGUUCAAUAGUUGAUAACAUAUUUUCUAAGAAAAAUAAAAAGUGGAUUUGAGAUCAGUUUCACAUGUGCCUUAAGAUUUGAUUUGUAUUUUAAUAUCAAGAUGUAGCUGUUUACAUCACUUAGGAGUGAUUUCCUUAAAACUGUUCCAGAUUACAUAUGUUGCUAUAACCAAUGUUUAUAGAGAAUAUGGAUAAAUUUCAACUUUAAAUGAGCUUGAGGCUUAAGUAGUUUCCAGAUAUUAGAAGAACUAGUUGGAAGAUCAUCUAGGUAAACCCCUUAAAAAAAAUCUAACUUAGUUCUUAAAAAAAAAUGUAGAUAUAUUAAAUGGACUAUAUAUGUAUUUUCUUUUAAUUUUAAACUUGUGUUAAACACUUAGGAUAUUUCUUACCAGUUGCAUUUAAUGUUAUUAACUGUAUAAUUUUAAAUGAUAUUUAUAAAAUGAAUUGCAUCAAAUAGAAAGAUUUGUUGAGAAUCAUUACUAUAUAGAUAGAUAGGUAGUUGUAGUUUAAAUCUCCAAUGUUGCUUACAAAUUUCUAGUCCAACAAGCAACAGACAUAUGUUCUGUUUAACAAAUCUUCUGAAGAAUAAUUACAAGUUGUUGGUGGAAAUCUGAAACAACUGUAAGCUCAUUGCCUUAAUACUUUAAUUUUAUAAAAGAGAAGCUUUAAAAUUAAGCCAGGGUAAGACAUUUCUUUGUUUCACUCAAUUUAAUUAAAUGCUCUAUUUCUUCUAUAAGGAUAAAAUUAGGCACUUGUUCAAUCCUGAAAUUCUUAGAUCGAUUGUAAACAAAGUUGCUACUCUUACAUUUAUGAGUUAUCCAUUAAAGUAUAGUAUAAAUAAAUAGAUACACUUACCUGGUAUUAAAACGGAAAGAGCUGCAAACGUUUCAGAAAGUUUCAAUAGAUAGAAAAGAAACUGAAACAGCAGUAUCCACUACCACUGGCUCAGGCUUUUUGGCUUUACAAGUGGCAGAUACUACCAGUUCAGGCCCAGUACCCUUGUGUUAUGUAACAUCUCAUUAAUAUUAGCCAUCAAACUGCUACCAAGCUGCUGAGGCACUAGAGGGCAAGAGUGUCACAUGCAAGACCGGUCGCCAAGGGACAGGUUUCGGUACCACUUGGGGAAGACAGAUGCUAAAGAAGCUGAUAAAUAACACGAUGCCUGAAAGCAGCAGUGAACUAGAAAUGUUUCUCAAAUAAUAUUUUAAACGUCAAUUUUCUGUCCAGCUGAAGAGUUAACAGGUUAAUAAAUAUGUAUAAGCAAAUAACCACACCAUGCGAAACUUUCGGGAUUGUACUUAAAAACCUCCAGUCAUCCAGGAAGCUAUCUUUCUUUUCUUUGUCUAAAUAAACUUAUUUUUAACAGGCGAGGAAAGGUCGAUUAAAUAAAACGAGUGGCAGUCUCAGGACCCCUUUAAACCGCGAGAAACUUGUCCUGACCGUGCGCGCCGCCUCUGGAGUCCGCGUUCCAAGUCUCCGGGGGCGGGUGUCUGGGCGAGGACCGCCGGUCC
rnacentral:lncRNA from 1 species